ACGUAGGGGGCAAGCGUUGUUCGGAAUUACUGGGCGUAAAGGGCGCGUAGGCGGCAUGGCAAGUCGGGAGUGAAAGCCCGGGGCUCAACCCCGGAACUGCUUUCGAAACUGCCAAGCUAGAGUACGGAAGGGGCAACUGGAAUUCCCAGUGUAGCGGUGAAAUGCGUAGAUAUUGGGAAGAACACCGGAGGCGAAGGCGGGUUGCUGGGCCGAUACUGACGCUGAGGCGCGAAAGCCAGGGGAGCAAACGGGAUUAGAUACCCCGGUAGUCCUGGCCCUAAACGAUGGAUACUUGGUGUGUGGGGUUCUCAAAGUCCCCGCGUGCCGGAGCUAACGCGUUAAGUAUCCCGCCUGGGGAGUACGGUCGCAAGGCUG
rnacentral:rRNA from 1 species